rnacentral:lncRNA from 1 species
UUUUAAGCCAUUAGGGUUUAUUCUUGACUCUUGAUUCAUGAUAAGGUACGGUUUAGGAAAUUACAUUUAAAUUACUUUGAAACUCUGAAGCGAUAGAGUAGCCUAAUAGGCUAUAUGUAAAAUUAUUUUAUGCACUUAGGUGAAAAUUGUUUUUCAUUUCUUGAUUAAUAAUUCCUUUUGUAAAACUUACUUGGCAAUAAAUAUCUUUCUGAUUCUGAUUAGGUUUUAAAAUAGAUAUUUAAUUCAUGGUAUGAACAAUUUAGCUGAAUAAAUUGAUGAAGUUAGACUUUUCACUAAUGCCUGGCUACAUCAGUGAACAGUGAAAGACAUCUGCAACAUGGCCAAAAUCUUGGGUAGGUCUAUACUUUAUAAUUUUUAUUAAUUUGCAACCAUGGUAAUAGCCUAUCAUAAACAGGAAAAUCUCUUGUUUUGACCUGAUCAGAAGGAUAAACUAAAAUCUAAAAGCUCCUCUGGUUUCACAGCUGCACUGGCAGAUUUAUGAAAUAUUUAGGAAAUAUUUCGUCUUUCUGCCAUUCCAGGAAAUGUCAUUUUAUGUCUUUCAUUUUUUUCCAACCUCGAUUUUUUUUUUUUUUUUUUUUUUACUUUUUACAUGUAUAAGGGAUUAAUUUGCAAUUGCGACCUGUACAAAUGUUUAAGACAGUAAAACACUUAAAAAAAUGUAAACACAUUAUAAAUGUUAGAAAGUAUAGGUUUUCACCAUUGCUGUGUUCAGGAUUUUUUUUGGGCGGAGUUAAAACGUGGCUCGAUGACGCACUGGAGCCACUGAGCUCCUGGCCCCUCCCCAAACAACAUAACUAGAGCACACAUUCGCGUCAGUUCGCCGUUCAAUCGCGAGUUUCUGUGGACUACCAUCGUUUAAAAUGUUGGCAAGAGGCGAUGAGAUAUUUGGUGCGCUUCCAAACAGGUUCUAGCGUUGAAACGACGGACGAUGACAAGAAGAGAAAGAGAAAGAGAAUCUCAAAUUCCAAGUACAGACCCCAGGCCUCUUCUGAUGAAGAGGAGUCUAGUCUUCCAGAUGCACCAGCAGUGCUGUCGUUUGGACAACCUCUUUUGAGCUUUGAAAACAUUGUUCCUGGUAACAAGGUUUCAGUGCUGCCUGAUGCUCCAGAAGUUGCAUCGAUUCCAGAAAACCAGGAAAAUGUUGUGCCAUCUGUAGACUUCAGAGGUGAACCAGGUUUCUCCCCAGAAAUUCAGACUCCACUUCACAGAGCCAAGAGUUUGAGUACAAGUAAGUGA